GCCCAGCGAGGUGGCGCACACCUGUAAUCCCAGUAGCUCGGGAGGCUGAGGCAGGAGGAUCACGAGGUCAAAGGUAGCCUCAGCAAAAGUGAGGCACUUAGCAACUCAGUGAGACCCUGUCUCUA
rnacentral:sRNA from 1 species